CCCGGGCCUUGUACACACCGCCCGUCACACCACGAAAAGCCCGUUGUACCAGAAGUCGCCGGAGCUAACCCGUAAGGGAGGCAGGCGCCCAAGGUAUGGCUGGUAAUUGGGGUG
rnacentral:rRNA from 1 species